UUUCCGAGAUUGACCCUGGAAAAUUUGAUGAAGCCUCGGGUGUAGCAAUAAAAAUUGAGGAACUUGAGAUGCAAGGCAGAAUGGUUGUAUGAAUGAGGUGCUGGCCAAGGCUGGAGUUGGUGCAAAUAUCUAGUCAACACAAACACCCAUAUCAGAGCAGAAAAAGCUAUCACAAACACGUAUAUACCAAAAGGCAGAGUUGUUACAAUCAGCCAAAUGUAAUGUACGGGAUUUAUAUGGAUUGGUGGAUAGUUUUGUAUCCAUCCAUUAGGAUCCAAAUCCAAAUCCAAAUCCAAAUCCAUCCAAUUGCCACCCCUAGCCACAACCCACAAGAAUGAACAUUCUUGAACAUUUGAAACGUUAUUCCGUUACAGCCACAACCCACAAGAAUGAACAUUCUUGAAUAUUUGAAACGUUAUUUCAUUGCAGCCACAACCCACAAUCAAACAAAUUGCCUCAUGACAUUUUUAGGGAUUUGGAACAGUGUUAGCUUUGUAAAAUAACAUUGAAGAUCGAGAGAGAAAGAGAACUGAGAAAUAUAUGGCACUUACAAAUGGUCGGUACAUGCCACAAAUUCAUCAAAUUCUCUAUCUAUUCAAGUUUCAACAUUAUCGAAAAAACAAGAGAUUGAAUCUCAUUACCGACACAGCCGAAGAAAUUGCCUAAAAAAUGUAGGGCUUUGAAAUGUUUGACGAAGAUGCCACUUUCGUCAAAACAAUUAGUAAAAAAAGUUCAAAGAUUAAAACUAAAAAAAG
rnacentral:lncRNA from 1 species